GAAAACAAAGAGGGGUGCUGGUCUUCAAUCCAUACCGGCUGAGAUGGAACUUCGGUUUCCGAACCCUGAUACCUGAUCUGGAUAAUGCCAGCGUAGGAAGUGCUCAGACCAUGUCUG
rfam:Clostridiales bacterium 1_7_47_FAA supercont2.2 genomic scaffold, whole genome shotgun sequence.